UACGAAGGGGGCUAGCGUUGCUCGGAAUCACUGGGCGUAAAGCGCACGUAGGCGGAUUGUUAAGUCAGGGGUGAAAUCCUGGAGCUCAACUCCAGAACUGCCUUUGAUACUGGCGAUCUUGAGUCCGGGAGAGGUGAGUGGAACUCCGAGUGUAGAGGUGAAAUUCGUAGAUAUUCGGAAGAACACCAGUGGCGAAGGCGGCUCACUGGCCCGGUACUGACGCUGAGAUACGAAAGCGUGGGGAGCAAACAGG
rnacentral:rRNA from 1 species